UACGAAGGGGGCUAGCGUUGCUCGGAAUCACUGGGCGUAAAGGGUGCGUAGGCGGGUCUUUAAGUCAGGGGUGAAAUCCUGGAGCUCAACUCCAGAACUGCCUUUGGUACUGAGGAUCUUGAGUUCGGGAGAGGUGAGUGGAACUGCGAGUGUAGAGGUGAAAUUCGUAGAUAUUCGCAAGAACACCAGUGGCGAAGGCGGCUCACUGGCCCGAUACUGACGCUGAGGCACGAAAGCGUGGGGAGCAAACAGG
rnacentral:rRNA from 1 species